rnacentral:rRNA from 1 species
GAACGCUGGCGGCAUGCCUUACACAUGCAAGUCGAACGGUAACGCGGGGCAACCUGGCGACGAGUGGCGAACGGGUGAGUAAUACAUCGGAACGUGCCCAGUAGUGGGGGAUAGCCCGGCGAAAGCCGGAUUAAUACCGCAUACGACCUACGGGUGAAAGCAGGGGAUCGCAAGACCUUGCGCUAUUGGAGCGGCCGAUGUCAGAUUAGGUAGUUGGUGGGGUAAAAGCCUACCAAGCCUACGAUCUGUAGCUGGUCUGAGAGGACGACCAGCCACACUGGGACUGAGACACGGCCCAGACUCCUACGGGAGGCAGCAGUGGGGAAUUUUGGACAAUGGGCGCAAGCCUGAUCCAGCCAUGCCGCGUGCGGGAAGAAGGCCUUCGGGUUGUAAACCGCUUUUGUCAGGGAAGAAACGCUUUGGGCUAAUACCCCGAGGUAAUGACGGUACCUGAAGAAUAAGCACCGGCUAACUACGUGCCAGCAGCCGCGGUAAUACGUAGGGUGCAAGCGUUAAUCGGAAUUACUGGGCGUAAAGCGUGCGCAGGCGGUCCUAUAAGACAGAUGUGAAAUCCCCGGGCUCAACCUGGGAACUGCAUUUGUGACUGUAGGGCUUGAGUACGGUAGAGGGGGAUGGAAUUCCGCGUGUAGCAGUGAAAUGCGUGGAUAUGCGGAGGAACACCGAUGGCGAAGGCAAUCCCCUGGACCUGUACUGACGCUCAUGCACGAAAGCGGGGAGCAAACAGGAUUAGAUACCCUGGUAGUCCACGCCCUAAACGAUGUCAACUGGUUGUUGGGAAGGUUCCUUCUCAGUAACGUAGCUAACGCGUGAAGUUGACCGCCUGGGGAGUACGGCCGCAAGGUUGAAACUCAAAGGAAUUGACGGGGACCCGCACAAGCGGUGGAUGAUGUGGUUUAAUUCGACGCAACGCGAAAAACCUUACCUACCCUUGACAUGGUUGGAAUCCCGCAGAGAUGUGGGAGUGCUCGAAAGAGAACCAGCACACAGGUGCUGCAUGGCCGUCGUCAGCUCGUGUCGUGAGAUGUUGGGUUAAGUCCCGCAACGAGCGCAACCCUUGUCAUUAGUUGCUACGAAAGGGCACUCUAAUGAGACUGCCGGUGACAAACCGGAGGAAGGUGGGGAUGACGUCAGGUCAUCAUGGCCCUUAUGGGUAGGGCUACACACGUCAUACAAUGGCCGGUACAGAGGGCUGCCAACCCGCGAGGGGGAGCCAAUCCCAGAAAACCGGUCGUAGUCCGGAUCGCAGUCUGCAACUCGACUGCGUGAAGUCGGAAUCGCUAGUAAUCGCGGAUCAGCUUGCCGCGGUGAAUACGUUCCCGGGUCUUGUACACACCGCCCGUCACACCAUGGGAGCGGGUUCUGCCAGAAGUAGUUAGCCUAACCGCAAGGAGGGCGAUUACCACGGCAGGGUUCGUGACUGGGGUGAAGUCGUAACAAGGUA